CUCCUGACCUCAAGUGAUCCGCCCAUCUCGGCCCACCAAAGUGCUGGGAUUUCAGGUGUGAGCCACCACGCCCGGCCGAUGAAUGGAUUUUAAUAAAAUAGUAUGAAAACUUCAUUAUUAUGGUUUCUGAUUCCACAUUGCAACUAACCAUUAAAUGUUACAGGUUGAGCUUCCAUAAUCUAAAAAUCCAAAAUCCAAAAUGCUCCAAGAUGUGAAAUUUUUUGAGAACCAACAUGAUGCCACACCUGGAAAAAUUCCUCACCUGACCUCAUGUGAUGAGUCACAGUCAAUUCAGUGAAAACUCUUUCGUAUACAAAACUAUCUCAAAUAUUAUAUAAAAAUUACUUUCAGACUAUAUGAGUAAGCUGUAUAUGAAACAAAUAAAUUUUGUGUUUAGACUUGGAUCUCAUCCUCGAGGUAUCUCAUUAUGCAUAUGCAAAUAUAUCAAAAUGGAAAAUGUUCGAAAUCUGAACACUUCUGGUUCCAAGCAUCUCAAAUAAGGGAUACUCAACCUGCACACUAAUAGGUAGUGUAGCAUCAAAGAAAAAUAUCCACAAUUAUCUUGAAAGGCUAUUUAAAUGAUCCUCCCUUUCCCAGCUAUUUAUCUGUGUGACACUGGGUUUUCUUCAUGUUCUUCAACCAAAAUAACACAUCACCAUUGACUGAAUACAGAAGCGGAUGUGAGGGAUAUCUUUUAUUAGCUCAGACAUUGAAGAGAUUUGUAAAAAUAUCAAACAAAGCUACUAUUCUAACUAAAUUUUCUUUUAUUUUAGAAAAUAUAGUCCCAGAACUUAAGUAAAAUUAAAAAAUAUAUAUAUAUAUAGUUUAAGGAAUGUCAUAUCUGUUAUUGUGCAAUGGGUCUAUUAUUAUUUCUUAUUUUAUUUUAUUUUAUUUUAUUUUAUUUUAAGACAGUCUCACUCUGUCACUCAGGCUGGAGUGCAUUGGCACAAUCUCGGCUCACUGCAACCUCUGCCUCCCGGGUUCAAGCGAUUCUCCUGCAUCAGCCUCCUUAGUAGCUGGGACUACAGGCACCCGCCACCAUGCUUGGCAAAUAUUUUUGUAUUUUUCGUGGAGAUGGGGUUUCACCAUGUUGGCCAGGCUGGUCUCAAACUCCUGACCUCAAAUGAUCCUCCCACCUUGGCCUCCCAAAGUGCUGGGAUUUCAGGCAUGAGCCACCGCACCCGGCCCAGUUCUUUUCUUUUUUUGAAACAGGAUCUGUCUCACAUUGUCGUCUAGGGUGGAGUGCGGUGGAUCACGGCUCACUGCAGCCUUAACCUCCUGGGGGUCAAGUGAUCCUGCUACCCCAGCUUCCUAAGUGGCUGAAACUACAGAUGAGAAGCCAAAGCGAAGAAGACAGGCUUCAGGCCUAGACUGCCUGGGCCCAAGGCUGAGCUCAGCCACAUCCUCACUGUUGAGACUGGGCAGGGGUCACAAGCAUCACUCAAACCGUCUUCAUUUCUGAAUCUUUCUCGUGGUGCUUAGCAUGGUGUUUUGCAGGCAGUAGAUUCUUAAUAAGUAUUUGUGCAAUUGGAAACUUCAAAUUUCUACCUGUAUAGGGAUGUGGAACCAUAAGGAGGCAUAGCAUGGGAGACACAGGACGUUUAUGAGGCAGUACAUAUUGUGGUAUUGACACAUAAUAGAUGCUAAAAGAUGUUUGUUGAUUGCAUGGAUGACUAUUUAUUUGCACUACCGGGUGCUCAAUAAAUAUUUGUUGAAUCUGGUUUGCCAAUGAUCCCCAACGUGACUUCUAGUUGUGGCUUCUCCAUCAAACCUCCAGUUUUGUAUUCCACAUGCCUUCAAUAACGUAUAUGGAAAGGGCUUACCUUUACCUGAAAUGGAGCAGAUAAAAAACGGAUCUACCCUCCCCGACCCCAAUCCCAGCUUCAUUACUUUUGUCCUUUGCCUCAGAAAUCCUGCCAGCCUGUGUCUUCAUCAGUUACUUCACACGGAGCUUGAUGUGCAUCAGAAACCCGACGGGGCAGCCAAAUUCCCAGCACCUGACGUUCAUGGAUUAAUCAGUAUCACAAAAUUAUAGUUUGUCAGAGCUAAAAGCGACCUCAGUCCAACCCCUUCAUUACAGAUGAAGAAACCAAGCUCCCAAGGGAUUUGCACAGAACUCGCGGCGGAACUAUUAAUAUGGCAACACUCCAGUCUUCUCCCUCUUGGCCCCCACUGCCCUGUCCUCGUUAGACUUGACGUGGCCUUUCCAGGCUCUGUUGUUUUUCCAGGUGUUCCAGGUGGUUACUUUCCAAGUUGCUGCAUGCUUCAAUGCCUCUGUUUUCCGGGACUCCCACGGAGUGAGAUUUGGCAGCACAGGUCUUUAGAAUCUGUGGCACAGGGCUUAGAAAAGGCCACUGCCUUUCCCAAAGAAGUCUGCUAUAAUGUAAAUCUCAUUAACCCUGCCCCAGGGUCUGAUAAGCUUGUUUCUCUAGAAGCUUCCAGCAGUUUGCUGGUAGGAACUUUCCAUUACUAAGCAAGUAGCCAACUCAUAGUCUCUUCAUCUUCUCUAACAUCCCCAACCAUGCUAAAGAUAACCUAGGAUACUUUGGGGCUUUGAAUCGUUAAUCAAUUCAAAAGGAUAAUUUUAGAGCAUGAUUAGAAAUAAGUGAAAGUCCACAGAACAUGGUUUGAACCAGACAAUAUGCACUUGGGCUAAAUCAUCUAAGCUCACAGACGGCUCGCAGAGUGAUACUGAUUGGGAAUUACUCAUGUACAUCUGGUCGGCUGAGCUAAACAGGGCCAGAGAGUCCUUCCGGCUGGCUCUCCUCUCUCCCAGGCCAGGGGAUGGGAGAGGAAUACCAUUUUUAGAGCACUUGCUGUACACUUUAGAUAUCUGACCUCAUUGAAUGUAAUCCUCUCAAAAACCCUGUGUGGUAGUCUCCUUAUUUUUAUAAAUAAGAGAACCUCCACAAGGCCAGGCAUGGUGGCUCACACCUGUAAUGCCAGCAUUUUGCAAGGCCUAGGCAGGAGGAUUGCUUGAGGCCAGGAGUUCAAGACCAUUUUGGGCAACAUAGCGAGACCCCUGUCUCUACAAAAAUUUUAAAAAUUUAGCUGAGUGUGGUGGCUCACGUCUGUAAUCUUAGCACUUUUUGAGGCCAAGGCGGGAGGAUCACUUGAGCCCAGGAGCUUAAGGCUGUAGUGAGCUAUGAUCACACCACUCACUCCAGCCUGGGUGAAAGAGCAAGACUCCAUCUCAGAAAAACAAAAACCAAAAAACAGAUACGUAAAAAAAUGCAGUUGUUCUUCAGGCUGACUAAACUAGAAGCAGAGCCAGGCGUCCAGCCCAGUUCUGUCUCUGGCUCCAAAGACUUCACCUUUUCUACUUCACCAGUGGUUUUCUUUCUUCCUGCCUGCCUUUCUUCCUCCCUUCUAUUUCCUUUCUUUCUUCCAUCUUUCCUUCCUCCCUUCUUGCUUCCUUUUCUGAGAAGCCAAAUGCUUUCUUUGCAACUGAAAUGAUGCACAAACCUGAACAUAUAAAACAUGUAAGACCAGAGCUGCUUUGCUUUGUUUACAAUAGAGAAAAACUGGAAACACCCAAGUGUCCACCAACAGGUGAAUAAAUAUCUGUGGUCUCUCCAUACCAUGGAGUACAACUUGGCAAUAAAAAGGAAUGAAGCAUCUCAGAGUAAUUAUGCUGAGUGAAAGAAGCCAGAUAUGAAAGAAUCCACGCUGUAGAAUCCACUUACAUGAAAGCCUGGAAGAGGCAAAACCAAUCUCUAGUGACAGAAAGCAGGUCAGGAGAUGUCUGGGGCAGGGGUUGUGAAGUGACUGAGGGGCCUUUCGGGGGUGAUGGAAAUGGUUCUGUGUGUUGACUGUUGUGAUUGUGUAUUCAUUUGUCAAAACUCAUUGAACUGCACACUUAAAGCGAGUACAUUGUGUGUAUGUGUGUAAAUUACUGCUCCAUAAUGGUGGUUUUUUUCUUCAAAGGGUGGGAGCCUGGAAAGGGCUGCUUUAAUUCAGGAAGG
rnacentral:tRNA from 10 species